GAUGAACGCUAGCUACAGGCUUAACACAUGCAAGUCGAGGGGAAACGGCAUUAAGUGCUUGCACUUUUUGGACGUCGACCGGCGCACGGGUGAGUAACGCGUAUCCAACCUUCCCAUGACUAAGGGAUAACCUGCCGAAAGGCAGACUAAUACCUUAUGGUCUUCACUGACGGCAUCAGAUGUGAAGUAAAGAUUUAUCGGUUAUGGAUGGGGAUGCGUCUGAUUAGCUUGUUGGCGGGGUAACGGCCCACCAAGGCAACGAUCAGUAGGGGUUCUGAGAGGAAGGUCCCCCACAUUGGAACUGAGACACGGUCCAAACUCGUACGGGAGGCAGCAGUGAGGAAUAUUGGUCAAUGGGCGAGAGCCUGAACCAGCCAAGUAGCGUGCAGGAUGACGGCCCUAUGGGUGGUAAACUGCUUUUGUAUGGGGAUAAAGUCAAUCACGUGUGAUUGUUUGCAGGUACCAUACGAAUAAGGACCGGCUAAUUCCGUG
rnacentral:rRNA from 1 species